rnacentral:lncRNA from 1 species
GUCCACAGGGACCGUCCCGGGUGGGAUCACAAAUAUGCCCGGGGGCCCGGGGAGCAGAGGAGCUAUUACGGAGGCCCUGCUGCACGGGGACGCCAACCUUGGGCUUCCAGCCUCCAGAGUGUGAGAAGGAAAUACCUGUUGCUUACAAGGCCCCGGCCUGCAGCCCAGAAGGACGGACUACUCUGCUCUCCCACAGGUGUGGAGUCCUCCACAGGUGGCUCUGGGGUGUGAGCCCCCACAUGGAACCUCACAGAGCUGAGCACAGCACAUCCUGUGGCUUGAGCGGCAAGUCCCGCCGACACCCGGCUACGUCCAGCACUCCUGGGUGACCUAUGGCAGUGACCGGGCUGCUGAGUUGACAAAGUGCUUGGUCAGCGAGGUAUCAGCUUGCAUUUCUCAAAGUGAGGCCCCCUCACCACCUGCCCCUGGCCCUAGGGUCCCAGUGCCACCUGCUGAGUGUCUCUUGGGCCCACCUCACACCGUGCAGACCAGAGCUGACACCUGCCUGGAGAGGCCAGGGUCGUCUCCAAGCAAUACCUUGUGUCCAGGUGCCGAGCCUCUUGGAGCCUCCAUCCUGGCGCCAGAACACACAGGUGAGACGCGCCAUCUCACGGCCCGCUGCGGUCAGAGCGAAGUGGGACUUCACCUGUCUAUGUAUCACCUGGCCCAAGGUCAAGCAAGGUUACUCUCAACCUUGUCCCUUCUUUCUCGAAGUAGCAAGGGGAAACUUCUGGCAAAAUGGGGCAGGGGGGGGUCCUUUUGUUGUUUUUAUCGGAACCAGUAAUGCGCACGUGUGGUGAAG